UGGCAUCUGAAGCAGGUCUACUGCUCUGUUCUCAAGCAUAUGCAGAAGAAACAUAAGCCUAAGCCCUGCCAUUAAUAAUGGCAACAGCGCUGUUGGUAGUGGUGACUGACCCUGCUCGUUUUCAUGUAUCUUGGGUUCCAAGUGAUCCUCUAUUUUAGAUUGACUAUAUUACUACAUACUUGUUAAUUAUUUUCUUGCCACUUUAUUUCAUUAAACCUUCUGGGUAAUUAAUGAUGUGCAUGUAAUUAACAUUAAACAGCGUCUUUAUGUACAAGAUCUUAAAGUCGUUUUAUUAACUGUUAAUUACCUAGAAGCAUAGUAGAAAUUAAAAUUAUAACCUCAAUUACUAAACUUUUUGACUAAAGUUAACACAAAAAGAUUUUCUAGAGCCUGUAGAGGGAAUAUGUUAACAUUUAAAAACUUUCCAAGACUUGAACUAUUGCCUUGCCCCAGUGGCUGUCAAUGCAAAUAAUGCAAUGGAAGAAAGAUUAAGCUAAGUGGCAGUACUAAAUGAUUUAGUUUUAAUUAUUAAGCAAGAGUGGAACUUAAGGAGAAAGUGGGAAGAUAGUUGUAAUGAUUAGAAUGCAAUGUUAUUAACCACUUCAGUCACUGCUUCAAUAGACAAGAUGUUUUUAUCUUGUUUUUAUCUCUGCAAUAAUAAAUUUUACAAAUUAAAAAUA